rnacentral:rRNA from 1 species
CCUACGGGGGGCUGCAGUGGGGAAUAUUGGACAAUGGGGGCAACCCUGAUCCAGCCAUGCCGCGUGUGUGAAGAAGGCCCUCGGGUUGUAAAGCACUUUCAGUGAGGAAGAACGCCUGGUGGUUAAUACCCAUCAGGAAAGACAUCACUCACAGAAGAAGCACCGGCUAACUCCGUGCCAGCAGCCGCGGUAAUACGGAGGGUGCGAGCGUUAAUCGGAAUUACUGGGCGUAAAGCGCGCGUAGGUGGCUUGAUAAGCCGGUUGUGAAAGCCCCGGGCUCAACCUGGGAACGGCGUCCGGAACUGUCAAGCUAGAGUGCAGGAGAGGAAGGUAGAAUUCCCGGUGUAGCGGUGAAAUGCGUAGAGAUCGGGAGGAAUACCAGUGGCGAAGGCGGCCUUCUGGACUGACACUGACACUGAGGUGCGAAAGCGUGGGUAGCAAACAGGAUUAGAUACCCCAGUAGUC